rnacentral:rRNA from 1 species
AGAGUUUGAUCAUGGCUCAGGACGAACGCUGACGGUGUGCUUUAGGCAUGCAAGUCGAACGAGAAAGCCCUUCGGGGUGAGUACAGUGGCGAACGGGUGAGUAACACGUGGGCAAUCUGCCCCUCGCAGGGGGACAACCGGGGGAAACCCCGGCUAAUACCCCGUACGCUUACGGAGCCGCAUGGGUCCGUAAGGAGAGGUAGCUUCGGCCAUCCGGCGAGGGAUGAGCCCGCGGUGCAUUAGCUAGUUGGUGAGGUAACGGCUCACCAAGGCGACGAUGCGUAGCUGGUCUGAGAGGACGAUCAGCCACACUGGGACUGAGACACGGUCCAGACUCCUACGGGAGGCAGCAGUGAGGAAUCUUCCACAAUGGACGAAAGUCUGAUGGAGCAACUCCGCGUGCAGGAUGAAGGCCUUAGGGUCGUAAACUGCUUUUAUGAGUGAAGAAUAUGACGGUAACUCAUGAAUAAGGGUCGGCUAACUACGUGCCAGCAGCCGCGGUCAUACGUAGGACCCAAGCGUUAUCCGGAGUGACUGGGCGUAAAGAGUUGCGUAGGUGGUUUGUUAAGUGAAUAGUGAAAUCUGGCGGCUCAACCGUACAGGCUAUUAUUCAAACUGGCAAACUCGAGAAUGGUAGAGGUAACUGGAAUUUCUUGUGUAGGAGUGAAAUCCGUAGAUAUAAGAAGGAACACCAAUGGCGUAGGCAGGUUACUGGACCAUUUCUGACACUGAGGCACGAAAGCGUGGGGAGCGAACCGGAUUAGAUACCCCAGUAGUCC